rfam:Crassostrea gigas strain 05x7-T-G4-1.051#20 contig1481, whole genome shotgun sequence.
UGCCGGAUAGCUAAGUGGGUUGAGCACCUGACUAGAGAUUCAGGGGGCCCGGGUUAAAAUCUUGGUCUGGUCC